GUCACCCAGCUGGCUGUGGUUGUCACAAUAAUGGGGACCCUUGGGAAGGCUGCUGGGACCAUUUCCUGAGGCUCCGAGGCUCCUAGUUAUUCCUCCCAAGCAGUAAUCAUCCCAAACUUCUACAUGGAUGGGACUGAGACUCUUGACCUUGGAAGCCAAGGGCAGUCCAAGGAAAUAAUAAUGGCUCAUGACCUGUGUCUUGGAGAAGGCUUUUGGAAACUGGUUGGACCAUACAUCUCCAGAUGAGGAGAGGACACAGACAAGAACGUGAUGCAAUGACGGAGGAAGAGACUGGAGUGAUGCAGCCAGAAGCCCAGGACGGCCAGGAGCCACCAGAAGCUGAAAGAGGCAAGGAUCUUCCCUCAUAGCCUUUGGAGGGAGUGUGGCCCUGAUGACACCUUCAAUUUGGACUUCUGGCCUCCGGAACUGAGAGACAAUAAACUCUUGUUGUUAUAAGCCACCCACUUUGUGGUACCUUGUCAUCUAGAAAACAAAUUAAGUCUCUUCACUCUCAUGAAGCCAAGUGGCAGUGUCCCCUUUCUGCCUGACGCUGCGGCAGUCUGCUGAGAGCCGAGGGCAAGGCCCAGGGGGCCAAGAGCAGGGAGCUGAGGGCAGGCGCCCUGAGCCCAGACCUCCCCUCCCCUGACAGAGCACAUUCCUGUUGCUGAGCCCCCUCAGGUUGGCUUUUUUUAUUACUAGCAGCCAAUAGCACCAGGACAUCUCCGGCUACGUGCCUCAGUGCUCAGACCUCAGCUCAAGAGGGCACAAGCUGCAGCUAAUAUGUUCCAAAGAAACAUUUACAGAGCACUCUGCUGUGGUGACGGAACCACAAGCAGCACCAGCCACCCUCCCAAGGAGCCUGAUCUGCCUGCAACCCCUCCUGGCUGGGGCUCUAUCAGUAAUGCCACUUCAGUCAGAUGGCUCAUUACUCAUUUGCCUCUGGGCGCACACCUGCCCUCCCAUGCCAUCCACUUCCCAAGCCAGGAAUCCAAGGCUCGGACAGGGCAGAUAAGCCACCGUCGCUGCCCUCGAGGUGCUCACUGUCUUGUGGCAGCCCCAGACCUGUCAGAUGACAGCUCCAGUGUCAGGGGCUCUGGACAUGGUGCCCAUGCUGAGGGGGCUGAAAGGAGGCUCCUACCUGGGCCUAGGCUUCGCAGGAGGCCACCUGAGUGAGUGCUGCUGAAGGAUGCGGGAGAGCCAGGUGAGGAGACAGGGAGGAGGUACUGCCAGGGGAAGGUACAGAGAGGCUGCGGAGCAGGUGUGGACCUGGGGGCUCAGCAGUUUGGUGGCUGGAGGGAGGGAACAAGGGGGGAAAAGAGAGAAUUUGUGUGUGUGGAAUGCCAGGGGAUGAACUGGGAGAGGUUGGCAGCGCCCAGAGUUUUAGGGGUGGGGGACUACAUGGUCAGGUAUGUGUGUGGGGUAGACUGGAGGGCACAGGGUGGAGCUGCUGACUGGGACAGCAGACCUGGGUGAGAAUCAGAGAAAUGUAUAUGCUAGCACUAAAAUAAGGAGCUCUGAUGGCGCAAUGGUUAAGCACUCAGCUGCUAACUGAAAGGCCAGCGGUUCGAACCCACAAGCUGCUCCACAAGGUAAAGACCUGGUGAUUUGCUCCUGUAAAGAUCACAGCCUAGAAAACACUAUGGGGCAGUUCUACUCUGUCACAUGGAGUCACCAUGAGUUGAAAUUAUUCGAGGGCAACUAACCAAAAGGCUGGGGGUGUGAGCCCACCCAGAGGCACCUCAGAAGGACCUGGUGAUCUGCUUCCAAAGGUCACAGACUUGGAAACCCUAUAGGGCAGUUCUAGUCUGUCCUAUAGGGCCACUAUGAGUCAGAAUCAACUCGAUGGCAAUUUUUUUUUUAGCACUAAAAUGAAAUGAAGCAAUGGUUCUGCUGGGCCUGGCCUGGUUAACAAAGCUACUGACAAGGACUUCAGGAGUGUCUCACAAAUAAAAACUCUCUUGAGCUCUGCUGGGGCAGUGCUGCUCUUCCAGAGGUGGAGAGCUUCCUAAAGGAGAAGCGGGUUGUGCUACAGGAGCAGGGAGGGUAGAGCCGAGCUUCAGUGGAACCGACACCGAGGGAGGUGGGGGUGGGUGUGUGGGGCUGGACUGCAUCCACCGCUGCAGUUCACGCACGCUAAACCUGAAGCAGACCAAGAAAUGGCUGCCCGACCUCUCCCUGACCCGUCUACCCCAAAAGCCGAGAAUGAUCCAGGGGGGAUUCCCGUCCACCACCACACCCCAACCCCAACCUGAGCACCCCGCCCUGCCCCCACCCCGCCUUCUCUCAGUCCCACCGACUUCCCAUCUAGCUCCCAUGCUUUUGCUAGCUGCAAGUCCUAAACUUCAUAUCUUAUCUGCUUACUCUAAUAUUUGCUUAGUCCUGCCCUGUCCUUGGCUCAGUUCGGAGACAACACAGACAGGAAGAAAGGUCUGUUCCCUGAGGGGGUCAGAGACCCUAAAUGAAUUCUUUGCAAAUAUUUUUUGGGUACAUACAGUGUACCAGACACUUUUCUAAGCCCUGGAAAUAUGAUUGGGGAGAGGACAGAGAGAGGCCCGCUCCUUAGAUUCUAGCAGGAGAGACAGAGAGUAAAACACACACAGUGAAGAAAUGAUACAGCACAGGGGACGUGGGAAGGAGUCCCUGGGUAGCACAAAUGGUUAAGUGCUCGGCUACUAGGUGAAAGGCUGGCGUUUUGAAGCCACCCAUAGGCACCUUACCUGUCAGAAGACAGGCCUCGUGAUCUGCUUCCAAAGGUCAUGGCCUUGAAAACCCUAUGGGACAGGUCUACUCAGGACACACGGGGUUGCUAUGAGUUGAAGGAGGUAAGAAUCUGGCCAGAGAGUUCAAAGAUCAGCAGGAGGCUGGUAUG